ACAGCUUUCAGCCAGGCAAACCAGACUCGGUUAAGAAAUAAUCAGCAGCUGGGCUAAUUGUCCUCAACAAUUUCCUAAUGCUGUUAGAAUUCUGGGAGUUUUGGGUUGGAAACAUCUAUGGGAACUCUAUAGCCGUGUGCCUAAAUGUCACGUAAUGUACACAGCAGGCUAAUUGAGCUCCGUAAGAUUUCCGGAGGUUGCAUAGCAUCCUCCCCGCGCUGCAGGUUUCAGACUCCUUUUCAGUCUUGCUUUGCUUUCAGCGCUGGUACAAAUCCCUGUGAUACACAAAGUGUGUGACAGCUUCAAGAGGCUGUGAGCGCAUGAUCUUCUUCCCCGCUCAUCGUUUCUGUUUAGCAGCUGGGAUUAAUAGCAGGCCAUUUACCGUCGCCCUUCCCAUCCCUGCUUUAGCGUGCAGCUGUGCUGUCGGCACGCAGGAGGCACAGGAGGCUGUGCUGAGCCAGCCAGCAGCAGAGCAUCGGGUCCUUGCUUCCUGGAAGGGGGAAAAUAGCCACGUUCCCUUUUCUGUUUCAAGAGACAAAUAUGGAUGUUAACACAGAGGACAAAGAGGGUUUGAGAAUCUGUUGCAGCAUAAUAUUUGAGGAAAAGCCAUAUUCCAGUGGUUAGGCUGAAUAAAUAAGUUUCCCUUCGACUGUUCUUUGUUAACAUUUUUCUGCUCCAUCUCGAAGUGAAUAACGUGGGAGAUGCCAGUGCUAAAGAUAGGCUAGCAUUUAUCUUCCAAACAGUUACGGUCGAGGCAGAAGGGUGAAAAGCCAGGGUCUUUUAGCUCUGUCCUGGAGAGGCCCUCCUGAAUGCCGCUAGAAAAAUAAACCUCCCUUCCAGUAUUCCUCUGCUGCUAAUUUUGAAGGUUUCUCUUGCAGUGGAUCUCUUUUAGCAUCGUGGAUACCCGUCCCGUAAGGAUUGCAGGAAGACCUAUUCAAUUCACUUUACUGAGGGUGACGACUAUAUUAAAGGGUUUUGAGUCUGUCACCCACUACCCAGGCUUGAGAUGUGGGUUGUACGUUUCCCUUCACCAAUUCACAGCUUAAAAAUCAUCCAGCAGACGCCACGUACGGUGAUGCUCAGCAUGGCAGUGAGUGGGCACGAGCAUUCCAUGUCUGCACAGGAAGGAGCCGGGAGCCAAACGCUCACGGUCUCGGGGCGAAGGGGAGACUGAGCACCCCAGGGGUGCCUUCAGCCCUAUUUCUCCAAAUCACAGGAAAUCACACAGCAGAAUUUGUCUUCAAUGGGACCUGCGUUUUGUUCUCGAAUCGCUUCAUGUGUAAAUCAUCCUGUCCUCUGCGGCGAGAGGAGCGCACGGUGAGGUGAGUAAAGGCUUGAACUUGCAAGCAAUUCUUUUAUUCUCUCCCUGGUUUGUGUCCAGUCCCCUUCAAGCUCGUCAGCAUUUUCCGCCUGUCCUCAUGUUGAAAUGCUGGGUUAAUGUAAAGCUACUCGUGCUGGUGUGGUGGAUUUGUACCUCCGUGCCUUACGUUGGCCUGACAAGCGUAGCGGGGGUCUGAAUGGUGCAGUAUCAUCGCUCUCCUGGCAUCAGGGAAAAAAAAACCAACCCCUCUCUGUACAUCUCCUGGACAAGCUUUUUCUGCUUUUUUUCCAAAAUAUUUUAAUUAAAUUUGACUCAGUAAUUCACGGAGGAUUUCUGAUUGCAAUUUAGUGUCUGGCCCAAGGGGCUGAGGACAAUCUCCUCUCCUCGCUGGAUGUGCACCAUUUCUGCUGUUGGAUGACUUCUCUCAUCUCUGGGUUUCUGGUGACUCACCGGGGACGCUUCAGAGUGGAGCUGUUAUCAGGAACAAAUAAGAGAAGGUGCUUGUAAUUCCUGCAGGUCUCUGUGCCGGGAUCCCGAGGAUGCGCUUGCUUUAGGAGCUGGUUAACAAUGACCUAUCUCCUGACCCUUACCAGCGCGGUGGGUCUGAUCCUGCAGGAGCGCGGUGGACGGACGGCGGGACGCUGCCCUGGGCCCGGCGAACAGAGCCAGGUGCAAAGGCUGAGGGCUGGAAGAAAACACGUGCCGCCGCACACCAGCGGACUGAGCUAAACAGUAAGGAGAAGCAGCAGCAAGUGUUCUCCCCCAGAAGAAAAUGCAAGUGGAAAACACACGGCCCCAGUAGAUGCAACAGCCAUGGCAGCAUCCCUUAAGAAAGGGUUUACGUGGAUUUCUAAGCAGGGAAACUGGAUGUUGCAACUGCUUUUCAUCUGGGCCAUGAUCCCCUGGACUUUGAAUACAUGCACGUCAAUAUAUCAUUUUACUGCUCACCUGCCUGUGAGAAAAAAAAAAAAAGAAAGGAGAUUUCAAUUCAGAAACCUGUUUAGAAAGAUCCUAGUAGAUCAGUCAGUGGAGCAGAGGAGCGUGAACUCCGGCGCAGAGAUCCACAAGCUGCAAAUCUGUAUCAAAAGGAGGACUGUGCACAGGAUCAUUUCAGCAAAUAUCUGGAGGAGGAAGACAUGUUUGGCUGUCGAGUGGGGAAGUCUUUAAACGUUGCUGUGGGAAGAGUAUAGGAUGACUCACUCUGCUGCAGGGAGCUGGGAUGCUUCUGCUCACCGCCUCCGGACUAAGUCAUUUAUCAUGAAGGUGGAAGAGUUUUGGUCUGCUGAACGUCAAC